AAUAUAACCAUUUAGCUUGUAACCAAAAUGCUCUUGCCAAAAUCAACGACGUUAAUCGACAAGGAAUGGCGGUAAAAUAGAAAAAUGGAAAUGUUCGAAAAUUGCGUUCAGCAAAUGAAUGUCAUAGAAUAGGAGUUAUAAAAAUUCCACAGAGGAUUGCAAAGGAAAUAUGAAACCACUGCCUUAUAGAAUUUGGAACUAUUCCGAUUACAUUGGCACCAGAGUCUGACAGUAAAUUCGAGAUAUGAUCUACAUAUAUUAUUUUUUAAAUUUGUAAAAUAUAUGUAAAUAAAAUGUAGCAACACUUGUUUUUGGCAUAAAUGUAAACACACAAAUCUCUUGAAUUUGUACCAAGUAAUUUUUAUACUUUCGCAACCUGUUGCUACAGAGUACAAUGGUUUUG